rnacentral:rRNA from 1 species
GACGAACGCUGGCGGCGUGCCUAAUACAUGCAAGUAGAACGCUGAAGGAGGAGCUUGCUUCUCUGGAUGAGUUGCGAACGGGUGAGUAACGCGUAGGUAACCUGCCUGGUAGCGGGGGAUAACUAUUGGAAACGAUAGCCAAUACCGCAUAAUAGUAGAUGUUGCAUGACAUUUGCUUAAAAGGUGCAAUUGCAUCACUACCAGAUGGACCUGCGUUGUAUUAGCUAGUUGGUGGGGUAACGGCUCACCAAGGCGACGAUACAUAGCCGACCUGAGAGGGGGGUCGGCCACACUUGGACUGGGACCCGGCCCAGACCCCUACGGGAGGCAGCAGUAGGGGAUCUUUGGCAAUGGACGGAAGUCUGAACGAGCAACGCCGCGUGAGUGAAGAAGGGUUUCGGAUCGUAAAGCUCUGUUGUAAGAGAAGAACGAGUGUGAGAGUGGAAAGUUCACACUGUGACGGUAUCUUACCAGAAAGGGACGGCUAACUACGUG